rnacentral:lncRNA from 1 species
ACACCUUCUAUAUUGAUCAUGUACUGCUGGGCAAUAGUUGUCAAACCACCUCUUGGACGAUGAUGUAACUCGAUAUACAUUCUUAGUCACAGUGAAUGAAAAACUAAUACCGCCUAGGAUUUCUUUUCCCCGCAAAGAAGAAGGGAAUAAUAAUUGCAUAAACAGGAAGGAAUUUGACAUACCUUGAAGACGACUUAUAGGACUCGCAAUCCGCUAAACUUUGUAAACAAUUUAGACAAAGGGCAAAAAAUCAGAGAAAAUACAAAGUUUUAGCUGCGGGAGAGGCAAUAGAUUUGUUUAGACAGAGGAGAAGAGAAGGAAAGGGUUCAGCGAUAGGAGGCGGGAAAGUGUAUGGAAUAAUGGGCUGAAACGUUACAUUUGAUGCUUAAUUAUAGUGGGCUGAAUGCUACUAAUUACUAUUAUAUUAACUCAAGUAUAAAAUUU